AUUGAACGCUGGCGGCAGGCCUAACACAUGCAAGUCGAACGAGUGGCGGACGGGUGAGUAAUGUCUGGGAAAUUGCCCGAUGGAGGGGGAUAACUACUGGAAACAGUAGCUAAUACCGCAUACCAUCAGAUGUGCCCAGAUGGGAUUAGCUUGUUGGUGGGGUAACGGCUCACCAAGGCAACGACCCCUAGCUGGUGUGAGAGGAGGACCAGCCACACUGGAACUGAGACACGGUCCAGACUCCUACGGGAGGCAGCAGUGGGGAAUGUUGGACAAUGGGGGAAAGCCUAAUGCAGCCAUGCCGCGUGUAUGAGGAAGGCCUUCGGGUUGUAAAGUACUUUCGGCGGGGAGGCGGUACCCGCAGAAGAAGCACCGGCUAACUACGUGCCAGCAGCCGCGGUAAUUC
rnacentral:rRNA from 1 species